rnacentral:lncRNA from 1 species
UGUAAUCCAUGAUGGCCUUCACUUGGAGACUCCUAAAGUGGGCGGCCUCAGCGGCGGCUUCGAAAUGACAUUCUCUCGACUUGCGGAGCUCGCCCUCCGACUUCUUCAACUUCUUCGUCAGGUGGAGGACCUCCUUUUUCAGCCGCUGGAUAGUUGACUUCAGCGGGACCCCCAGGGGCAAGGGAAGUGCUUCAGCAGGGCACUGCCAUCGGAAGGUGCAAGCGUCAAAGACCGACUCAUUACAAGAAGAAAGGCAGAAAGGAGGAGGAGGGGGAAGGAGAGACUAUCCACAAUAAAAAAUUUGACUUUAUUGAUUAAUUUUGAAGACAAACAGAAAGAAAAUAUGGCGACAAAAUAAGGGCACAA